GAUGAACGCUAGCUACAGGCUUAACACAUGCAAGUCGAGGGGCAGCGGGAUUGAAGCUUGCUUCAAUUGCCGGCGACCGGCGCACGGGUGAGUAACGCGUAUCCAACCUUCCGUACACUCAGGGAUAGCCUUUCGAAAGAAAGAUUAAUACCUGAUGGUAUGAUGAGAUUGCAUGAUAGCAUCAUUAAAGAUUUAUCGGUGUACGAUGGGGAUGCGUUCCAUUAGGUAGUAGGCGGGGUAACGGCCCACCUAGUCUUCGAUGGAUAGGGGUUCUGAGAGGAAGGUCCCCCACAUUGGUACUGAGACACGGACCAAACUCCUACGGGAGGCAGCAGUGAGGAAUAUUGGUCAAUGGCCGAGAGGCUGAACCAGCCAAGUCGCGUGAAGGAAGAAGGAUCUAUGGUUGUAAACUUCUUUAUAGGGAAUAAAGUGGAGGACGUGUCCUUUUUUGUAUGUACCUAUGAAUAAGCAUCGGCUAACUCCGUGCCAGCAGCCG
rnacentral:rRNA from 1 species